rnacentral:miRNA from 1 species
UCAGGGGAAGGGAAGAGAUGC